UACGUAGGGACCAAGCGUUGUUCGGAUUUACUGGGCGUAAGGGCGCGUAGGCGGCAAUUCAAGUCAUCUGUGAAAUCUCCGGGCUUAACCCGGAACGGUCAGAUGAUACUGCUUUGCUAGAGUGCGGAAGGGGCAAUCGGAAUUCUUGGUGUAGCGGUGAAAUGCGUAGAUAUCAGGAGGAACACCGGUGGCGAAGGCGGUUCUCUGGGCAUUACCUGACGCUGAGGAGCGAAAGUGUGGGGAGCGAACAGG
rnacentral:rRNA from 1 species